UUCUACAGGCUUAACACAUGCAAGUCGAGGGGCAGCAUGGUCUUAGCUUGCUAAGGCCGAUGGCGACCGGCGCACGGGUGAGUAACACGUAUCCAACCUGCCGUCUACUCUUGGACAGCCUUCUGAAAGGAAGAUUAAUACAAGAUGGCAUCAUGAGUCCGCAUGUUCACAUGAUUAAAGGUAUUCCGGUAGACGAUGGGGAUGCGUUCCAUUAGAUAGUAGGCGGGGUAACGGCCCACCUAGUCUUCGAUGGAUAGGGGUUCUGAGAGGAAGGUCCCCCACAUUGGAACUGAGACACGGUCCAAACUCCUACGGGAGGCAGCAGUGAGGAAUAUUGGUCAAUGGGCGAGAGCCUGAACCAGCCAAGUAGCGUGAAGGAUGACUGCCCUAUGGGUUGUAAACUUCUUUUAUAAAGGAAUAAAGUCGGGUAUGGAUACCCGUUUGCAUGUACUUUAUGAAUAAGGAUCGGCUAACUCCGUGCCGGCAGCCGCGGUAAUACGGAGGAUCCGAGCGUUAUCCGGAUUUAUUGGGUUUAAAGGGAGCGUAGAUGGAUGUUUAAGUCAGUUGUGAAAGUUUGCGGCUCAACCGUAAAAUUGCAGUUGAUACUGGAUAUCUUGAGUGCAGUUGAGGCAGGCGGAAUUCGUGGUGUAGCGGUGAAAUGCUUAGAUAUCACGAAGAACUCCGAUUGCGAAGGCAGCCUGCUAAGCUGCAACUGACAUUGAGGCUCGAAAGUGUGGGUAUCAAACAGGAUUAGAUACCCUGGUAGUCCACACGGUAAACGAUGAAUACUCGCUGUUUGCGAUAUACUGCAAGCGGCCAAGCGAAAGCGUUAAGUAUUCCACCUGGGGAGUACGCCGGCAACGGUGAAACUCAAAGGAAUUGACGGGGGCCCGCACAAGCGGAGGAACAUGUGGUUUAAUUCGAUGAUACGCGAGGAACCUUACCCGGGCUUAAAUUGCAGAUGAAUUACGGUGAAAGCCGUAAGCCGCAAGGCAUCUGUGAAGGUGCUGCAUGGUUGUCGUCAGCUCGUGCCGUGAGGUGUCGGCCUAAGUGCCAUAACGAGCGCAACCCUUGUUGUCAGUUACUAACAGGUUCCGCUGAGGACUCUGACAAGACUGCCAUCGUAAGAUGUGAGGAAGGUGGGGAUGACGUCAAAUCAGCACGGCCCUUACGUCCGGGGCUACACACGUGUUACAAUGGGGGGUACAGAGGGCCGCUACCACGCGAGUGGAUGCCAAUCCCCAAAACCUCUCUCAGUUCGGACUGGAGUCUGCAACCCGACUCCACGAAGCUGGAUUCGCUAGUAAUCGCGCAUCAGCCACGGCGCGGUGAAUACGUUCCCGGGCCUUGUACACACCGCCCGUCAAGCCAUGGGAGCCGGGGGUACCUGAAGUGCGUAACCGCGAGGAGCGCCCUAGGGUAAAACUGGUGACUGG
rnacentral:rRNA from 1 species